GACGAACGCUGGCGGCGUGCCCAAUACAUGCAAGUCGAGCGGAUUUGUUCCUUCGGGGACAAGUUAGCGGCGGACGGGUGAGUAACACGUAGGUAACCUGCCUAUAAGACUGGGAUAACUAUCGGAAACGAUAGCUAAGACCGGAUAACUGGUUUUCUCGCAUGAGAGAACUAUGAAACACGGAGCAAUCUGUGACUUAUAGAUGGGGCCUGCGGCGCAUUAGCUAGNGGUAGGUAAUGGCCUACCAAGGCGACGAUGCGUAGCCGACCUGAGAGGGUGACCGGCCACACUGGGACUGAGACACGGCCCAGACUCCUACGGGAGGCAGCAGUAGGGAAUCUUCCGCAAUGGACGCAAGUCUGACGGAGCAACGCCGCGUGAGUGAUGAAGGUUUCGGAUCGUAAAGCUCUGUUGCCCUAGACGAACAGCAUGAGGAGUAACUGCCUUGUGUGUGACGGUAUAGGAGAAGAAA
rnacentral:rRNA from 1 species